UGUGACGUUGUCACCUGUUGCUGUCACAUUGUCACACUAUUAAUGUCCCCCAGAACUGUCCCCCCCCGCUGCUGCCACUGUCAUCCCGUUAAGGUCACUGUGAGUCACGCCAGCCCCACCCUCCGUUUGACUUUCUGAGCAGCCAUGGAGCCCCCCCUCAUAGGCGGGACUUGACUGUGUGCACCCAGAGCCAGCAGACCCCAGAUGUUCAUUAGCAUGAGCUCGAGGAAGGCAUGGAGACAGGAGUGGGCAGGGUGUGCCCAGGAGCACAGGGUCAAGGCUGGGGACAAGGAGAUGGGAGGAGGGACGGGGAGAUGCCUGCAGUCUAUGGUGUGUGGAGUGCGCUGGGCCAGCCUAGGCCAGGGUGGCUUGGGGACAGAGCCCUCUUUGUAUAAGCACAGGAAGCAGCUGGGAGUCAAAGCAUUGCAUACAACGCCAGGAGUUUGGCCACGUGCCCAGGAAUGAGGCUUGGAGCGGGGAGGGAAGCCGCAGAGGACCCAGGAAAGCUCUGAGGAAGAGAUCAAGCUGGAUCCUCACAAGAGACCCUGAAGACAGGCUCUGAUAUCAUCCCAUUACACAGAUGAGGAAACUGAGGCACAGAGCCACCACAUCGCCCACUGGGACCCCACCACCAGGAAAGAAUACAGGCAAAUCUGAACCCAGGCCACAAAGCUGGAACCUUCCCCGUGGCCUUGGGCCCCCAGCCACACCCUCACCCCAUUGCCUUGAUGUUCUA
rnacentral:lncRNA from 1 species